rnacentral:rRNA from 1 species
UACGUAGGGACCAAGCGUUGUUCGGAUUUACUGGGCGUAAAGGGCGCGUAGGCGGCGCGACAAGUCACUUGUGAAAUCUCUGAGCUUAACUCAGAACGGCCAAGUGAAACUGUUGUGCUAGAGUGCAGAAGGGCAAUCGGAAUUCUUGGUGUAGCGGUGAAAUGCGUAGAUAUCAAGAGGAACACCUGAGGUGAAGACGGGUUGCUGGGCUGACACUGACGCUGAAGCGCGAAAGCCCAGGGGAGCAAACGGG